rnacentral:lncRNA from 1 species
AUGUCAAAUGCGUAGGGUACAAGAUUAGUAAUUUCACAUAAGUAAUGUAUAUCUGUCUUGUAUUGAUAUAUUGGAGAAUAUGAUUAUAUACUUGCUUUUUGCCAAAGCACUAUUUUUCUACUUAUAUCACUAACAGGGGUCGAUUAGAAAUGCUAAAAUUGAAUUUGUUGCUGAGUAGUGACAAGAAUAGGGAGGGCUGUGAGGUGGAGAGGGCAGAGUGGUCCCUUGUGGGGAAUGUGUUUGUGUGUGUGUGAGGGGAUUAAUUUUUGAACUAAUUUAUUUCAAUCCCUGUCAGUUUUAGCCAAGAUCUGAUAAAGAAUUUUGUUGCUACCGUAGUUCUUAACAAUUACCUGUUACAAAAAGUGUAUAUAUAAUUUUCUUACUUCUUUAAACAUCCUUUUUUCUUAAAAC